UGAAGGUCAGGCUGGCGGAUGAGAUGACUGCCUGAUGGGAAACUCUGUACAUCCUUGGGUUCUUGGGUCUUCUAUUGAGUUGGAAGAGUUCACAGAUAGGCCCUAGAAAUUACCUCUGUUAAUACUGCUCUUUAGGGUACUUGGUUACCCACCACUGAAAUUCUUCAAGAUACCUUUUCUGAAUGAGGGACCCCCAGAGAAGAGGGUUACUGGAUGAACAAAACUAAUACAAGACAUUUAUUUUUUAACUGACUUGGAAAUUUUGCUACAGCAUGAGAAGCUAUUCUCUCAAAAUUAAAAUAACUUGUAGGCUUUAUAGUUGCCACAGAUACCCAGCGAAAUGUAAGCACCUGGGGAACAACCUGAUUUUACAAGUCUGUGGGUUUGAGUAAUUGCUGAGGAAUUUGGGUUAAGGGAAACAUUAUAUAUGUGUAUAUACAUACGAAUUUAUUGCCAUAUGAUUAUAAGUUUCUGUCAGUAAGCUUUUCUUCCUUUUACCUGGCCUUGUUCCUUUGGUGUGGUGCUAUAGGAGCCGUAGCCAUCCUGGCUUUCCGCUGGGCCAAGAUCAGGCGUGCGGCUCUUCGGGCAGGGCUUGCUGCCUGAGCAAUUCUUCCACCUUCCUCUGGAAGAAUAGAUGGCAGGGUCGAAUUUGUUGCUUCUGGGGUUGUUUGCUUGCUCGGUGUGUCAUUUUGGAAUGAUUUUGGGGGUCCCAGAUGGAAACAAAUGUGAGGAACGCUCUUUGUAGCUGGAAAUGAAUAUUGCUUAUAAAACAGAGGUAUAAAAAGGGUAAACGUCUCACUUGGCUAGUCAAGGUAAGUGUAUGAUGAAAGAGCUAGAGUAAAGGAGUUUAUCUGAAAAACUUUAAA